UAAAACUCUGUAGUGAAGAGAGAUCGUACUCACAUCCAGGGGUCUGUCCUCCCCAUUCUACAUGGUGUUCUGUUGUUGGGUAAUUGCUGUCAAUUAUUUCCUGGAGACAUGAUUAGCUUCCUAGGGUUGUCACGCCCAGUGGGUCUGCAAUCAUUUACUUGCCUUUUUCCCUCGAGCUCUCUCUGCCAACUCUGGCCAAAUCACAUCUGAAAGCUUAUUAAGACAUCCAUUCAGCUCACAAUGUCGUGGCUUCCUCCUAGUCUGCUCGUCACAGCUUCUGAAAGUCUUAGGGCUUCAGGUUUUGUCAGACUGCUCCCUUCUGCCGGCAGAGGACCUGUAACACUGCCCUAUCGAAGAGUCAGGGAAUAAUUCACAAAUGGGAGGAAUGCUUUUGAAUGAGAGAAAUGAAAUCUGAACUCUGCCAGCAGUAAUGCCAGGAGAAGAGAGGGAUGUGCAUGUUGUAAGGGAGGGAGAACGAAGGAGGGGUCAAGAUCUAUAACGAACCACCUUUCUGGUGACAACAGUCCACCCUCCUUGGCAGAGAGUUCCAGCACAGUGACUGCAGCCACACAGGAGACAAGAGGCUGGGAGAGCAGCUGUUUCAGUGUUUAUGAGGCAGGCUAUGGCUCCUGAACCUCCAAGAGAUAAUAAAUAGAUGUAGUCCUUCUCCUGUCUCCCUCCCUCCCCAAAAUAGAGGACCACAGCUGCUGGGAGAAGAAUUACCAGCCUCAAGACAGACUCGACCCAGUGACACAGGUCUGUCAGCACCCCCAAGGACUGGACAGCGCCACAGCCCCUCCAGGAAUUUUCUUCUCCCUACCCUCAACCCCUGUUGGGUAAAACCACAAACACUAAAGACAAACCAAAACAAGCAAUAUCAAAUUAUAAUAAAACCAAUCCCCACACAUUAGUCUACCUUCCAUGCAUACAUUUCUCCCUCCCACUUCUUAAAUCGCUUUGAUCAGGCUUCUUUCUGCCCCCAAUUCUCACUAAACUGUUGAUGUUGAAGACUGUGGGCACAAAGAACUAUAGAAUCAAGGAGAGGAUUCUUUCUUGCUUAGUGUGCUAUGAGUGAAAGGGAACAGCAAACUUCUCACAGAAAAGGGUAGGUCUGGGAUGUGUGAUGGAAGAUAUGUAGGAUUUUGUUAGGUAGAGAAGGGUAGAGGAGAUAGGCCGAAAAAACCAGCAAGAGCAAACAAAACAGGCAGCGUGGUCUGCAAGUGCACAUCAUGAAUGGGAAAGACACGCAAAGAGACUGUUGCAGCUGAAGCUUAUAAUACAUGGGCAAUGAUCCAGAGAUCACGUUGCAAAGUUGGGCUGUGAAAAAAAUUUCAUAUCAUGCCAAAGACAUUGGUUUGUAUGUUGCAUUUGUUAUGGGAGCCCUAGAAGUUGGUAAGCAGAAAAGAAACUAGUUAUUUUUUACUCAACUUGGAAUUCAAGAAUUCCAAGAAUUGGAUUAAGUAUAAUUAUGGGUUGAUGCUACACUUUCCAGAUUGUAGGCACAUGGCUUUCUUUCUCUUUCUUCAUUUAUUUCUUCUUUAAUUCCUUCCUUUCCUCUCUCCUCCUUUCUUUUUAUGUUAAUAGGUUUAGGUUUACAGAAAACUUAGCAGAAAGUACAAAGUUUCCAUGUGCCCUCCACCCAUUACUGCCCCCACCCCCUGCCAGUUUCCACACAUUUUGCAUUGGUGUGGAAAAUGUUACGAUUGAUGAGUCAAUAUUGAUACACUACUAUUAAAUAAAUCCAUGGUUUACAUUA